UGGUGGAGUGAUCUGUCUGGUUGAUUCCGAUAACGAACGAGACGGGAGCGGGCAGUUUUGCCUCGCGUUUCUCACGAAACGCGUGGGCGUACUUCUCGGACAACUGCCUUCUAGGCAGCGGAAGCGUCCCGCAAUAACA
rnacentral:rRNA from 1 species